UUUUUCAUCUUUGGAACUCAACGUCACGUUGACGCUGAGCUCGGUCGCUGAACUCCCGGCAGAGGAAGGACCAAUAUCCACGGGAGAUUUGGAGCGUAAUGGACAUCCUUUUCUGCUCCUUCUACUAUGCUGGUCUCAGCCAUGGUUCAGCCUUCUCUCCUCUCCUGCUGAUUUCAUUUCCAGAAAAAGAACGGAAAGUUAAUGUAACCAUCACAAUCUUUAUUAAAUACUUGCAGGAGUAAACAUGCAAUGCUGGGACCGACACCAGGCAAUGACAGCUGAAAAUGUGCCUUUUGGAAGCCUCUCAGGCUGUUUUCUCCCCACAUGCUUGUUUUGAAUGGCAGGAGAGACAUCCAGCUCAAGGUGAUUUAGGAUUCUUUGCUUUGAAGAUUAACAGCUGAACAUGUGCCUCUCUGUUACAUGCUCCGGAAAGAGAAAGAGAAGCAACCCUGGAGCCCUCAUGAAAAUUGGAAAAGGGACAGCACUUCUCCAGAAGAUCUUGCAGGUUUCCUUGUGAGUUAUUUGCUCACAAAGUAAAUGUGGCCAAGGAGCAAAAGUACCAAUUACAAGCUACAUUGCUUAUGCUUUCAUGAGAGCUGGUGUGGUCAAGAGACUAAGGUUACUAAGGUUCACUAUAAAUUAGACUCCUACCUUAGCCAUGAAACUGGCUGAUUGCCUUUGGACCAUCCCAUGAUAUCAGCCUUGGUUGACAAGCCAAAAAGUCAAAUUCCUAUCACAAGCAAAGGAUCAACACUAAGUUCAUCCAAAAAAGUGGACCCUGCAUUUGUAGAAAAAUGCUACGAAGAAAAAAUGUUUAUGGCUAGCCUUAUCAGGAUGCCCCUGAACAGGAAGAAAGUCAAGAAAGAUCUCCAAGAAUCUGGGAUUUAGUGAAAUGGAUCCAACUGAAUAGGAUGAGUGACUAUUGCAAACAGUUCUAUAGAUGUAAUAAAAAUAUCUUAUGCAGAUCAAUUAAGACAGCUUUUCAAAUUAGUUCUUUGCAGGACGUAUGAGAUGUCCAUCUCUGACAUAGAUUUUAAAGUCAUUAUAGUGUAAUAGUGUAAUUGAUUGUUGAUGUGUCACAAUGGUGAAAAUAAAAGAUUUAUAUUGCCAUACAAUGAUUG